CUAACACAUGCAAGUCGAACGGUAACANGGCCUUCGGGCGCUGACGAGUGGCGGACGGGUGCGUAACGCGUGGGAAUCUGCCCAGUAGUGGGGGAUAACCCGGGGAAACUCGGGCUAAUACCGCAUACUCCCCAAGGGGGAAAGCGGGGGACCGCAAGGCCUCGCGCUAUUGGAUGAGCCCGCGUCCGAUUAGCUAGUUGGUGGGGUAAAGGCCUACCAAGGCGACGAUCGGUAGCUGGUCUGAGAGGACGACCAGCCACACUGGGACUGAGACACGGCCCAGACUCCUACGGGAGGCAGCAGUGGGGAAUAUUGGACAAUGGGGGAAACCCUGAUCCAGCAAUGCCGCGUGUGUGAAGAAGGCCUGCGGGUUGUAAAGCACUUUCGGCGGGAAAGAAAAGUUGUGCGUUAAUACCGCGCGACCUUGACGUUACCCGCAAAAGAAGCACCGGCUAACUCCGUGCCAGCAGCUGCGGUAAUACGGAGGGUGCAAGCGUUAAUCGGAAUUACUGGGCGUAAAGCGCACGUAGGCGGGCAAUUAAGUCGGAUGUGAAAUCCUCCGGGCUUAACCUGGGAACUGCAUCCGAUACUGGUUGCCUAGAGUAUGGAAGAGGGAAGCGGAAUUCCAGGUGUAGCGGUGAAAUGCGUAGAUAUCUGGAGGAACAUCAGUGGCGAAGGCGGCUUCCUGG
rnacentral:rRNA from 1 species